CACGUAGGGCGCAAGCGUUGUCCGGAAUUAUUGGGCGUAAAGAGCUCGUAGGCGGUCUGUUGCGUCCGCUGUGAAAACUCGGGGCUUAACCCCGAGCCUGCAGUGGAUACGGGCAGACUAGAGGUAGGUAGGGGAGAAUGGAAUUCCCGGUGUAGCGGUGAAAUGCGCAGAUAUCAGGAGGAACACCGAUGGCGAAGGCAGUGGUCUGGGCCGAUACUGACGCUGAGGAGCGAAAGCGUGGGGAGCGAACAGG
rnacentral:rRNA from 1 species